AUUGAACGCUGGCGGCAGGCCUAACACAUGCAAGUCGAGCGGAUGAAGGGAGCUUGCUCCUGGAUUCAGCGGCGGACGGGUGAGUAAUGCCUAGGAAUCUGCCUGGUAGUGGGGGAUAACGUCCGGAAACGGGCGCUAAUACCGCAUACGUCCUGAGGGAGAAAGUGGGGGAUCUUCGGACCUCACGCUAUCAGAUGAGCCUAGGUCGGAUUAGCUAGUUGGUGGGGUAAAGGCCUACCAAGGCGACGAUCCGUAACUGGUCUGAGAGGAUGAUCAGUCACACUGGAACUGAGACACGGUCAAGACUCCUGAGGGAGGCAGCAGUGGGGAAUAUUGGACAGUGGGCGAAAGCCUGAUACAGCCAUGCCGCGUGUGUGAAGAAGGUCUUCGGAUUGUAAAGAACUUUAAGUUGGGAGGAAGGGCAGUAAGUUAAUACCUUGCUGUUUUGACGUUACCAACAGAAUAAGCACCGGCUAACUUCGUG
rnacentral:rRNA from 1 species